CACAGAGCCCUUAUCCCCACGCUCACCUCGCUCCACCGCACCGAGGGGCCCGAGCCCCGGCGCUCCAAACACCGCCUACCAGCCGCGUCCCGCCGCCAUGGCCGCCGCAGGGGAGUUCUGUGCAGCUCUUCUGACAAGUGCAAGAUAGGCAGUGGGAAUGAGACCUGUAAUGAAUCCACUGGAGGCACAGUGCAAGCAGAAGCGCUGCUCUUGGAUGAAGCUCUUCAGCCUCUGUGAGGAGGGAGAAAACGAUGUCUUUCAGCAUUCCUCUGGAUUCUGCACAUCCCAUCUGCAGGAUUCCGCACGUUGGAAUCAAGAGAUGAUUCACUGGAAUUUUAAUCAAGAAAAUCAGGGCAGCUUGAGCCCAGUUUCCCACCCCUUCUUGGAAG